GGGCUAUUAGCUCAGUGGUAGAGCGCGCCCCUGAUAAUUGCGAUCUAUUGAUUCUCUCCCGGACCGUAGGUGCGAUG
rnacentral:tRNA from 2 species